AACUUUACGCCGGUGGAACGGGCUACAUUGAUGGUGUAGAGCACAAAAUAGUUAUAUUUUUGAAGUUA
rnacentral:tRNA from 1 species